rnacentral:rRNA from 1 species
UAGAGUUUGAUCCUGGCUCAGGACGAACGCUGGCGGCGUGCCUAAUACAUGCAAGUCGAGCGGAGUUGAAGAGGUGCUUGCACUUCUGAUGCUUAGCGGCGAACGGGUGAGUAACACGUAGGCAACCUGCCCAUAAGACUGGGAUAACAUUCGGAAACGAAUGCUAAGACCGGAUAAACAGCAUGGUCGCAUGACUGAGCUGGGAAACACGGAGCAAUCUGUGGCUUAUGGAUGGGCCUGCGGCGCAUUAGCUAGUUGGUGGGGUAACGGCUCACCAAGGCGACGAUGCGUAGCCGACCUGAGAGGGUGAACGGCCACACUGGGACUGAGACACGGCCCAGACUCCUACGGGAGGCAGCAGUAGGGAAUCUUCCACAAUGGACGCAAGUCUGAUGGAGCAACGCCGCGUGAGUGAGGAAGGCCUUCGGGU